CCCCCACCCUCCCACACACACAUAUUUUUGUUGUUGUUGUUACUGCUGCUGCUGCUUUCACACUUUUGACAAAACUCCCAAUUUUCUCAAGCCCUGUUGUUACAUGCCAAGAAAUGUUCUGACUGAACUGUGGUAUAGUUUCACCCAUAGCCAUUAGCUAGUGAUUACUUGCUUCUUGAUAUGCUUUGUGUUUUGGCUUGAAUGAUUCAAAAUAGGACUAAUUCCAGUCUCCCUAGGAUAUUGUCUUCUGUAUCACCGAAGAGACCAGUCUUCAUGCCAGCGCAACAGAGAUUUGGAAUCUUAGCUUAGCUCCAUUGCGAGUUGGAAUCCCUAGCUUUGAGUUGUGCUUACGGCAGAGUGUUAAUGAAAGAAAAGCAAAAUACAUCGAGCCAAUGUACUGGCAUGAAAGGUGUAUUUUUAAAAAAUAUUUGUGAACAGCAAAUUGGGGGGUUAUUUUUGCAAAUUAUGUUGCAGACAUUGAUUUUUCCCUGUCUUACCACAUUGUGAUUAGAAAGAAUUCAACACUUUAUUACCUAAGGUAAAGGAUGAUAUUAGUCUUUAAAUGCUAGUUCCACUGUUUAAUUUUCCUUUUUAUUAAGGACAUAUUAGGUAGUCCAGUGACACCAAUGCUCUAAGUAACUGAUGAUUAAAACUACAUUCAUUCAACAUAACUUCAAAAAUUUGCAAAAAUUAUGAUACCAAAUUCUUGAAAGAUUAAAUAUGCUUUCACUUGUUUAGAUUAGCCCACCAACCACUAGUAUUUGGGGUGGCAGAAAAUGCUGCAACGGCUCUAUGGGAGGGAAUAGAGAUUUUUUUUUCAUAAAUAUGAGUAAUAAAAUGUGCCAAUUCUCAUUUUGGCAUGAUUUCUUGACUAUAGGUCCUUAACAGUGUGGAAAACCUAAAUAGCAUUAAACUGCUCAACUGGUCUAAGGGAUGGAUAAGGACACAAACUGGGUAUGGAAAAAUGACUCCCUGUGACAGGUCUUUCAUCAGUCUCCUCACCUAACAGUUGCAUUGCCACUUGUGGGGGUAAACAAUAGGGGUGUGCAAAGCGGGCCCUAUUCAAUUCGGAUUCAGCCCAAAUCAGGGACAGUGAUUCGAUUCGUUGAUCCAGAUCACCUGUCCCUGAUUUGAUUUGGCCGAAUCCAAAUCUGAAGAUUCGAUGCUGAUUGGGAGAAUCAGCGAUUUGGACAUAGACCAGCUUUAAAUGUUUUUUCUACAUACCUUGAAGGUACCAACAUAGCUCGUGAACACUGCGAUGCUGAGGUAGAUGGAGCAUUCCACAGGAGUGUGGGGUGGCCCCUACCUGCUCAGCGGUGAAGCUGGAAAUAGACUGGAAGUACUUCCAGGUCUGCUGGGGAGCGCACGGGGCCCCCCCCGGCUUGGCGAUCAAAUCAGGGACCAAAGCUUUGCACAACCCUAGUAAAGAAAUAUCGUAGGACAGGGCUGUCCAACUUCUAAGCUCCCAAGGGCUGCACACCAUGAGGGCCAAACCAGGCAAACCACGGGACACCAGGAGCUCUCUAUGCUGUGCCUACUCCCCCACCCCUUGGGAUGAGGUCAAGAAGCAGCAGCUGUUGGAGGGAGGGGGAGCCUGGAGACUGGCUGCUCUUGCAGCCAGAACAUGGGGGGAGCAGCUGCUGGGUGAGAGGUGGGGGGGCCACAACGUAACUACCCACAAGCCACCUUGUCUUAAUGUACUACAUAGUGAAAAAGUAUUGAAGAAAAGGGAUCUUUUAAAAAGAGAACCACAAAAGAAAAAGUAAUGUCUCCCCACGAGCUGAAAUACAUGUUUUCAGUUAAGAAUAGUAAGACGAUAACAUGGUAUGCUAAGUAAAGAUCAUGGAUUGACCUCUCCCGUUCCCCUGAAAGGUCAUCCUAGUCAUCCUAGUUCCAUUUCAAAAUCUGCAUUACCUCUCAGUUUCUUGAGGCUUAAAAAGAUCUCUUCUUCUUCAGAUGCAUUGAAAAACUACCCCAAAAUCUACCUUACUUCAUAGAUUUUAUGUCCAAUCAGAGGAAUAGAAUUGUAAACAUGAAACACACGUGAAAAGUAAUUUGGAGUAGUCACACAGUUAAUAGUCAAAACUAUUAUUAUAACAAUAGGUUAGGUCUAUUUUUUACAUAAAUCUGUUUAUUUUUUUUAUAAUGACAAUAUCACUUCAAAAGGUAGCUAUUUAAAUAUGCUCUGUGGCUAUUAAAAUUAUUUAAAACAUAAUAAAAAACCAGAAAUUCCAUUUGUUUUAAUGGGAGUUUUUUUGGUUUGGAGUGUUGAUCCAAGAAGUGAGAAAAAUUAUAUAGCUGCUAUACCAUAGAUAGCACUGAAACAUAUUUUAUUAUUCAGUAAUGGAUAUACAUGGAAAGGAAAUCAUUUUUUUUUCAGUAGGAAACAGGAGAGUGAAACAAUCAUUUGGUUUAUUUGCUGAUUGUCCCUACAUUUGGACUAGAAAGCUUCUCUUUUCUUCUUUGUUCAUGCUACAUAAAGAAUAGACCUACAUACCUAGAUCACAGAUACUCUUUCAUCAUGUCUGCUUGAUUUUUUAUUCUUCAAUUACUAAAUAGUACCCUAACUACUGAUAAAUAUCUCAUAGUGGAGAGAAACUCGGUUGGUCUCUAAGCUUAAUGAACUAUUAACUGUUGGCUGUAGGUUUCUUGGAAGUCCCUGAAUGAUUACUAAUGCUUUCUGCACGUUCUUAGUCUAAUAACUAGAACAAUAAUAGUUAAAGUUUAGAACUUCCAAAGGAAAUGCGGUCUGAACAGGGGAAUGGGGACCAGAACUCAGUCCUAGUUCAAAUACUGGUUGCUUCUCCAUGCCAAUUUCCUUAUGAGUAAAAUGGGGCUAAUAUACACAUUAAAAGGGAGGUACAUUUAGUACCAACAUAAAGCACUCAGUGCGUGUCUACACAAGAUGCCUUACUGCACAGUGGACUAAUCUACUGUGCUGUAAAGAAUCACCAUCUGCAUGUGCACAGCAUUUACUACACAGUGAAUUAGUCUACUGCGCAGUUGGCUACUACCUGUAGAGGUAGUAGGUUAACUGUGCAGUGUCUACUGCACAGUAGCACAUGUGUAGACAGCUGACUGGCAGCAAAUUGCUUCUGGUCAGGCCAGACAGCAGGGGGUGGGGGAACUGUCCCCUCCCCCAGGCAGCUGCCUCCCAGUCCUGCACCCUGAUCAGCAUGUUAGGGCAAGGGGCUGGGAAGCAGCUGUUUGGGAGAUGGGAUAGUUUCCUGCUGGUCAGAGCACAGGGCUGGGAGGCAGCUGCCUUGGAGGUGGGACAGCUCCCCCUGUCCCCCAGAGCCCAAGUCUUACCCCAGUAUCCCUGAGGGAGCCUGGGGCUCUCCCUUGCUGCUGUACAGGGACAGAGCAGGGCAGGAGUAGCCCUGCACUGAACUCUCAUUGAGAGCAAAUUUGCCAUCAACAGAUACACAUGUAGAUGUGCUCCUGGAGAAAGCUUACAGCACCUUAUUUUACUGUGCAGUAAGCUUAUAGCACAUUAAUAGCACAUGUAGGCAUGCCCUCAGAAUAUGAAAAUCACUAUUAAGUGCUAUGUAUUAUUGCUUUUGUUGUUCCUCCUCAGACUAUCAUCAUGCUUAUGUUAAUGAUGCAGAUAUUGGAUAGUGUAACUUGACUUUUCUUUCUCAAUGCUCAGGGCUUGUCUACAUAGGGAAACUUAACUAUCAUAAGAAUACUGCUUGUGUUACACUGUUGUAUUACUCCAGGGCUGGACACAUUCCAAUUACUGAAAACAAAACCUGGUCUACGCUACAAAAAAUUUCUAUUAAGAGUUUUCUUAUGUUGAGACAUCUUUGUUUACCGCCAUGUUUCAUUUUGAGAGCUGUUAGUAAAACUUGGGUUUAACCUGACAUAGUCAAAAUCAUGCUGGUGUCAUAAGUCCUGUACUGGCAUUGUUUUAUAGGGUACAGUGCCUUCUUUUAUGCUACAUUACCUGUAUUUAGUAGUCCUCCACAGUCCUCCUGUCUUUGUGACAUUCACCAUUGUCAUAAUUUUGAACUCUGCUGUCCAGGGUUCACCAUAGCCUGAAUCUUGCCCUCAUUCCUUAAAAUUGCCAGUGCAUUUUGGAAAUACUUCUCUUUCCACUAGGCCACCCUUGAGAGUGCUUUUUGUGACCUUACUGCAGAGGUAUGGCACAGUAUAAAACUGUAGCUAAGGAGAGUUCAGAUUUUGCAUUGCAAUCUGAUUUAAAGAAAAACAUCCUGAAUUCCCUCUGUUUGCAGAGGUAAAUCGGUAGUGCAAGUCCACUGCAGAAUUGCUGCAACUACUAUUGCAAUUCAGGCAUUACAAAGGGCGUGAAAGAGCUGUGGUACACGGGAAUGAACAGCAGUGCUGAGCAAGAGAGAAAAGGGAAUUAAAAACUGUCAAACCAAAAGUAAGAGAGACCAACAGAAAAUUGGGGCUGCCUCUUACACUUGUUGCUGCUAUGCAGACCUGGAUGCCAUACUGAGCAGGGACCCUCACAACCAUCCUGCAAGUAGCAGUGGAUACCUGGCACCAACUUAAGAAGGAACCUCAGAAAUGCAGACUCAUGACAAGCUCAUUGAGGCAAGGGUCUUGGACAAUGCAGCCACCACAGAGAGCCAGGUAUAUCUAUCUGUACCUGACCCAGACAAUCCAGAUAGAACAUCCAAGGAAAAGGAAGUCAGGUAUGUGCGUUGUUGCAUUCUUAUUAUUUUAUUUUUACUUUGUUCAUGGGCCCCAAACCUAAUCCUCCCAUCUCUCAGAAUGGUAACUGAACACACACAGACAAAGAACCCAGGCAUUGCCUUUUGAAGUAGAUUUAAGCAACAUGCACUGGCACUCAGAGACAAAUAAAGGAGAGAAAAUAGUAAGAGAAACCCAAACCAAAACAUGAAUUUGGCAGGGCAGGCAGUAGAAUUUCCAGCAACAUAAAUCUAUUCACUUUUGACAGAAAAAAAAUAUACUGAUAUUUUAGUAUGCAAAUGAAUAAGAUUGUAAAAUGAUUCUCACAAGCAAUCAGUACUGGUUAUUCAGACUACAUGAUUUUCAAGAAUAAAAGUGUAAAGUAAGCUUGUAAUAUAAAUGUCAAAAUGCAGUGCCUUGGUUUUCCUGUCAGAGUGCAUGUCCAAAACAAAUUAUUGAAUGCUGUACUUGGAUAGAGGGAUAGAGGGAGGAAGAGAUGAUUUGUUGCCAGCUUGAGGGGAGGCUUGGCUUUAAUUGGCUUGCAGAACUGUGCAACCACCCUUUUCCAUUUUUGGCAUUUCAGGUUGAUCUUGGUAUGAAUGUCCCUUUUGUCCUCUGUUGCAAGCAUGAUAAAAUUUUCAAGAAGGGCAUUAUUUAAGAUGUAUCCACGCAUUUCGAAGAAGGGCUGGCUGCCUUGUCUGACCUGCUAUGGGAGACACCUUCACACACCAGUCUGCACUGAGUUUGGAUGACCCUCUAUGUUGUGAAGAGAGAGACAGCAUAUGGGCCCACACAACCUCAAGCAGUUGUCUUCUCUCCGCCCUCAGCACCCCCAUAAUGGCCUCAGUUGUAAAAUAUGUGAGAGGACCCUUUCCCACACCUAUCAAAAGACUUGAUCAGGAAGAAGAAAUGUUCUGUGAUCCUCUUGAGAGCUCUGUCCAGGGCAAACAAACAAAAGAAUAAAGAGAACAUAUGGUGGAGGAAGGACAGAAGAGCAAGAGGCGCCUAAAGAAAUUAACCCAGACAUUCUCCAUCUCCUCAGACAGCAAAGUGUUAAGAGCAGGAACAUUCAAAAGAUGUGCAUUCCAGCAGCCACUGCACUGCAUUGACAGUUGUCCUUGUAGUGUCUAACCCAUACAUGCACACUCCUGCCAAAACACUGGCAUAGCUUACUGCAGUAGCCCUUUCACUGAAAUUGUCUGGAAAAUAAGAAUUGCUACGAGCAUACCUAUCAUUUAUGUACGAGAAGUGAGCAUCUGGAAUGAUGUUUUUACAUGGUAUUAAUGUUUGUUGAAGUACUUUGGUUAAUUAACAAUAAAGUUACUUUGUGAAUAUCAUAA